rnacentral:rRNA from 1 species
UCAAAGGAAUUGACGGGGGCCCGCACAAGCGGUGGAGCAUGUGGUUUAAUUCGACGCAACGCGAAGAACCUUACCAGGGCUUGACAUCCCCUGACCGCGUAUGAAAGUACGUUUUCACCCUCGGGUGACAGGGAGACAGGUGGUGCAUGGUUGUCGUCAGCUCGUGUCGUGAGAUGUUGGGUUAAGUCCCGCAACGAGCGCAACCCCUAUUGUUAGUUGCCAUCAUUCAGUUGGGCACUCUAGCGAGACUGCCGGUAAUAAACCGGAGGAAGUGGGGAUGACGUCAAAUCAUCAUGCCCCUUAUGACCUGGGCUACACACGUGCUACAAUGGUUGGUACAACGAGUUGCGAGUCGGUGACGGCGAGCUAAUCUCUUAAAGCCAAUCUCAGUUCGGAUUGUAGGCUGCAACUCGCCUACAUGAAGUCGGAAUCGCUAGUAAUCGCGGAUCAGCACGCCGCGGUCGAAUACGUUCCCGGGCCUU